rnacentral:lncRNA from 1 species
CUCCCCUGUUUUCCCCCUUCCCGCGCCCACAUCGUGCCCCGUAUCCGCAACGCCAUCAUCAUCCACUUGCCUUGCCGGCGCCGCCAAUCCCCCCAGGGCUCUGGGCGUCUUGCUGCGAGAGCGCAGGGACUGCCGGGUGGGCUCACGGCCUGUUGUGUAUUGAUCCUCGAUCGCAAGACCUGCUCCAUAAUUAUGGUGUUGGCUGUGGUGCUGGUGGUUGCCAGGCAACUGCCCCUCUGCAUACGGCGAUAAGGCCCUCACGCGCAGCUGCACAAGGACGGGAAGGGAGGAGGGUGGCUUUGGGGUAAAGGUGAGGGGCAGGUUGGGGAGGGGUGUGACAAGUGCCGUGUAGUGAAAGAGGCUGCGACACGGGAAGAUGUCGAAACUCCAAUGAGUACUUGGGCAGGCAGAGCGCGCCAGGAAACGGACGGAACAUUUGCGUGCGUGUGUGCACGUGUGUAUAUGUGUGUUUUCAUAAUGACCAACACCAUUGCCGCCGACCAAGGCAUGUACGUUAAUUCCAUAUGUAUACAUACAUCAGGGCGUGAGGGAAUGAGAGAGAAGGGUGAGGUCGCGUUCGUCCGUGCAGCUCCCUCUCCAUUACCCACGUCCCAACGGGGCAGCCAGCCAGCCAGCCACCCACCCACCCACACGAUCGUCCCCUUAUUCACCGCGCUAGCACGUCCCGCCUCGCUGUCCUCCCGGCCGCCGCAGCUCUCCCACUGCUC